GUUUAGUAUUAAAUGUCUGUCACAGGCUGAUAUUAAUUUCUGCUAAGUUUUUUUAGUAUCUGAGCAGUCCUUGAGCUGCAGGAUGUGAGGUCUUCCAGAAUGAUUUACAUAGGCAUCAGGUACUCAGUGUCUUUUUGAGAACUCCAAAGUACAAUGAAACAAAGUAUCAGAUCAGAGCAGAGCUGAUUGAAAUAUACUACUGAAAUGGCUAACAAAACAAACUCAUCUGAGUAUUACUGGUCUUAUGAAUAUUAUUGGGACUAUUUUGAUCCAUUUCCAGUAGAUGGAAGGAUGUUGAAGGUUCAUAAAUAUUCAAUUGUCAUAGCCUUUUGGGUUGGACUUGCUGCAUUCUUGAUGUUUCUCUUCCUCAUUUUGCUCUACAUGUCCAGAUCUGGAUCCACACCAGUAAAAUCUAAAUGAAAAUAUAAAAUCAUUACUGAAAAGGUUUACAGAUGAAAAAAGACUGGAGAAAUGGUAAAUAGGAGAGAGAAUAAGCAGGCCAUCUGUAUUGAGUAAACUGGAUUGCUUGGUAAGACAGGUGGCUAUAAAUAACCGGGAAGAAGAAAACAGCUCCAACGGUGACUGUUUCACAUAGAAGAUCUCAGCCAGACAGACUCAGAUUUGAUCCCUUCUGAAACACAUCCUUCUCUCUCAGAUGAAACGGAUAUGCAUGGAAGUACCUCAGCCUGAGCUAGAACUGGAAACAGAUUCCACAAAAACAAAGCAGCAUGGUCUUGUAACAGGAAUUUAAAAAAUCAGUACUUUGGAUAUUAUUGCAUAUAGAUAAAAUGAAAUUACCCUAUUUACUCAAAUACGAAAUGAGGUCAUCCCCCCACCAAUCAGCAUGGGGAAAAACAGCUCCUCAUCUUACAUUCUUACAAGGAAACCUGAUUUAAAACAUUGACUAUCACCAAACUGCUGCCAGAAGCAGCAUGUGCUUAGUAAUGGAAACCAACUAUGAAGCUGAUUAAAUGAAGCCAGUACUGCAUAUGGCUAUAAAACCUAGGACCCAUAUUGGGCAACCAUA